rnacentral:rRNA from 1 species
UACGUAGGCAGCGAGCGUUGUUCGGAGUUACUGGGCGUAAAGGGUGUGUAGGCGGUUGUUUUAAGUUUGGUGUGAAAUCUCCCGGCUCAACUGGGAGGGUGCGCCGAAUACUGAAUGACUUGGAGUGCGGGAGAGGAGAGUGGAAUUCCUGGUGUAGCGGUGAAAUGCGUAGAUAUCGGGAGGAACACCAGUGGCGAAGGCGACUUCCUGGCCUGUUCUUGACGCUGAGGCGCGAAAGCUAGGGGAGCAAACGGGG